rnacentral:rRNA from 1 species
UACGAAGGGUGCAAGCGUUAAUCGGAAUUACUGGGCGUAAAGGGUGCGUAGGCGGUUCGUUAAGUCUGUCGUGAAAUCCCCGGGCUCAACCUGGGAAUGGCGAUGGAUACUGGCGAGCUAGAGUGUGUCAGAGGAUGGUGGAAUUCCCGGUGUAGCGGUGAAAUGCGUAGAGAUCGGGAGGAACAUCAGUGGCGAAGGCGGCCAUCUGGGACAACACUGCCGCUGAAGCACGAAAGCGUGGGGAGCAAACAGG